rfam:Triticum aestivum genome assembly, contig: Triticum_aestivum_CS42_TGACv1_scaffold_393665_5AS
GGAUGCGAUCAUACCAGCACUAAAGCACCGGAUCCCAUCAGAACUCUGAAGUUAAGUGUGCUCGGGCGAGAGUAGUACUAGUAUGGGUGACCUCCUGGGAAGUCCUCGUGUUGCAUUCC